CUUUAGCAUAAGUGCCAAAUGUUAUAUAACAGUAUAAGAAUACUAUAUUUGUAUGUAUGUAUGUACCUGAGAUAAUGUUCGAAAAAUCUUAGUAAUUAAACGUAGGUCUUUGUUGCUCUCUUAAAAAAUCUAAGUAGUCCAUAUCUGAAUCCAUUUAGGCUAUUGGCAAUGAUUAUUCUGUAUGCACUGCUAUCACCACUGAUUAGUUUAAAACUUAUCAUUAUUUUCCUAUGUGACUGUAGAUAUAUAAAAAAAAGGGUGAUACUGAAGUAUUUUGAAUUUAUAUCGGUGGUUCUUUUAAAAGUAUAUUGAUUUAUUUUUAGAUGGUUCUGAAAAUUACUAUGUUUGAUAGUUAUUGCCUUAUAUUGAAAUUUUGAAACCUUUUUGUAUUUUCAUUUUUAGCUCACCUGGCCCAAAAUUGGGUUUUAUUCCUUAAAAAAGGGUGAUUUUCCAGUUAUUGAACUAUGGGGCAUUCAGACACCUUCUUCUUUUAUUUAUUUAUCAAUCAAAUUUAUUUAAGUAAAAUUAAUAUUCAGAUAAUAUACUUACUUUUCAGCUUUUAGUAAAAUUCUAAAGUGAAAAUCUGACCCACCCUGUUUUUCAACACUUUAAUCACAUUAAAAUGAAGCAAUAUUUCAAUCAUUAUAUGUCAAUAUUAUCAUUUAAUUGUGUUCUUAAUUGGUGACUGUUUCCAUUUGUAUGUUAUGUUUAUUUUAAAUUUAUAUAUAUUUUUCUUUGGUGUUACACAAUGCAAUGCUCAAGUCUUGUCUGACAGGGUGAGGUGAAUAUGAUAUUGAUUUUUUUUUUAACAAAGAUUGUGUGAAGAUGGAAGUGUACAUGAAGGUUGGAUUUGUAAUUACAUAUCAAAAUAAGCCCUUUGUUUUGUGAUCUUUGGUCAGCUUUCUUUUUUUUUAAUUGAAUGAAAUUUGACUAUUAUUUUCACUGAGAAUCUGUCCCUGCUAAGUUAAUAAUUUCAUGAUUUGAUUUUUCCAAAGGAUUGAAAACAAUCAAUCUAGUCGACAAUGAAAAUGGUAAGUCAAAGAAAACAGACCAUAUGACUGGGCUGAAAAGUUAGUGUACAACACACUUCACAGAAAGCUAAAGACUAAGCAAUCUAAAGGUGGUUUACCUUUACCAAUGAUUUAUGAUAUUGAAAUCUAAAUCUUUUAUCUUUAAUAAAUUUUUGAGCUGAAAUUCCAAAUGAUAAGAUCAAAUUUGUUUUUUCUAAUUCACAAUUUUACUGAGUGAGAUUAUUGUUUAAUUGGAAAAAGGAGAGACAGCUAUUGUAUUUGGAAUAAUAUGUCUCUGAAUUUGACUCUUAAAGAUGUACACUACAAACAAGGAUUAAUAAAUGGUUGUGAUUAAAAACAUGUUCCUGAUAGGAAACCCUGUAAAGGACUUGUUAGUAGUGGACAUUCUUAUGAGUAUUAUUAUACUUCUGCCUAAAAUAGGUUUUAUAAUUGUUGAAGUCACCGUUGAUUAUUGAUCAUAUUUUAUAGUGUAUAUUUUAAAAUGUAAUUGAAUUUCUUAAUACAUAGUUCACCAAAUGUUCAUCAGAUCUGGUAAGGAGAACAGAUAUUGUUAAUGUUAUGAAUAAUAAAUGCCAUUGUUAUUAUGUUCAUUUACUUCUUGGCUAUUAAUUAACCCAUCUGAACAUACAGAAAGCAUACCUCCUACAUCAUAUUAUUAGUUACAAAGGAAGAGAAUAUCACUUCAUUGUACAAUGUCCAUUUAUAUAAAAAAAAAAAA
rnacentral:lncRNA from 1 species